ACGGAAGGCAGCAGUGAGGAAUAUUGGUCAAUGGGCGAGAGCCUGAACCAGCCAAGUCGCGUGAGGGAAGACGGCCCUAUGGGUUGUAAACCUCUUUUGCGAGGGAUAAAGUGCGUCAUGCGUGACGUUUUGCAUGUACCUUGCGAAUAAGGAUCGGCUAACUCCGUGCCAGCAGCCGCGGUAAUACGGAGGAUCCGAGUGUUAUCCGGAUUUAUUGGGUUUAAAGGGUGCGUAGGCGGGGAAUCAAGUCAGUGGUGAAAUGGUGCGGCUCAACCGUAGCAUUGCCGUUGAAACUGGUUUUCUUGAGUGCGAAUGAGGUGGGCGGAAUGUGUCAUGUAGCGGUGAAAUGCAUAGAUAUGACACAGAACACCGAUUGCGAAGGCAGCCCACUGGGACGCGACUGACGCUGAGGCACGAAAGUGCGGGGAUCGAACAGGAUUAGAUACCCUGGUA
rnacentral:rRNA from 1 species